GUGCCAGCAGCCGCGGUAAUACGGAGGGGGUUAGCGUUGUUCGGAAUUACUGGGCGUAAAGCGCACGUAGGCGGAUUGGAAAGUAGGGGGUGAAAUCCCAGGGCUCAACCCUAAAAUGUCGAUCGAUACUGUUGUGACUAGGAUACGGUAGAGGUGAGUGGAAUUCCGAGUGUAGCGGUGAAAUGCGUAGAUAUUCGGAGGAACACCAAUCGCGAAGGCAGCUCACUGGGCCGCUAUCGACGCUGAGGAGCGAAAGCUAGGGGAGCAAACAGGAUUAGAUA
rnacentral:rRNA from 1 species